UCAAUAAGCGGAGGAAAAGAAACCAACAGGGAUUGCCCUAGUAACGGCGAGUGAAGCGGCAACAGCUCAAAUUUGAAAUCUGGCGCAAGCCCGAGUUGUAAUUUGUAGAGGAUGCUUCUGGGCAGCGGCCGGUCUAAGUUCCUUGGAACAGGACGUCACAGAGGGUGAGAAUCCCGUACGUGACCGGCGCGCACCCUCCACGUAGCUCCUUCGACGAGUCGAGUUGUUUGGGAAUGCAGCUCUAAAUGGGAGGUAAAUUUCUUCUAAAGCUAAAUACCGGCCAGAGACCGAUAGCGCACAAGUAGAGUGAUCGAAAGAUGAAAAGCACUUUGGAAAGAGAGUUAAAAAGCACGUGAAAUUGUUGAAAGGGAAGCGCUUGCAACCAGACUCCGCGGCGGUGUUCCGCCGGUCUUCUGACCGGUCCACUCGCCGCCGCGGGGCCAACAUCGUCUGGGGCCGCCGGACAAGACUGGAGGAAUGUGGCUCCCUCGGGAGUGUUAUAGCCUCCGGUGAUGCGGCGCGUCCCGGGCGAGGUCCGCGCUUCGGCAAGGAUGUUGGCGUAAUGGUUGCCAGCGGCCCGUCUUGAAACACGGACCAAGGAGUCUAACAUCUAUGCGAGUGUUCGGGUGUCAAACCCCUACGCGUAAUGAAAGUGAACGGAGGUGGGAGCUUCGGCGCACCAUCGACCGAUCCUGAUGUCCUCGGAUGGAUUUGAGUAAGAGCAUAGCUGUUGGGACCCGAAAGAUGGUGAACUAUGCCUGAAUAGGGUGAAGCCAGAGGAAACUCUGGUGGAGGCUCGCAGCGGUUCUGACGUGCAAAUCGAUCGUCAAAUUUGGGUAUAGGGGCGAAAGACUAAUUCGAACCAUCUAAUUACCUGGUUCCUGCCGAAGUUUCCCUCCAGGAAA
rnacentral:rRNA from 1 species